CUGGCAUCUAGACGAAGAAGAAAGAAUGGACACUGGCAAUAUUUGUGGAGAUUCGGGCUUACAAUUUCCCCAAACUGAUGAAAACACCAAUCUUCAGAUGAGACCCACAGGAAUUUGCAAAGGAUUUUUCCAGAAAAAAGGGAAAUAAUCACUGGAGAAGAUCAAGGGGAUCUUCAAAAAGAAUAAAGAGAAAAGAAAGUCGCAAACAUGUAAGUAAAUCUCAAUAAAUAUUGACUCAUCAAAAAUAUAUCUGUAGAUUGGGAAUAAUGAAAAUGUAGUCAAAUGUUUUAAGCUCCUUGUACUAACCAGGAGAAGAGUAAAGUUAUCAAUUAAUAUUAGACAUUGAUAAGCCAAGGAUACAUUUUUAAUUUCUGAGAUGAACACUAAAGAUAGGAAAAGAGCAAAACAAAGUAAUGAUUAAGAAAAUCAGUUCCAAGUCAAGAUGUAUGAAAGUUGUGAGUCCACAGAACAAAUAGAUAACUUGCCUGGCCAAAGGUUCUCUACGAAGCAUCUGAGGCCACCAUGGUCUCCAGCUAUCAGAAUUGAUACCAAAUAAAUUUGCUGGGGAAAGCAAGCAUUCAAAGACUCUCUUUACAUUUUUAAAUACAUAGGUUCUAUGAGGAUAUGUAGAAUGUCCCAAUUUAUUCAUGGACCAUUUCAACAAACUUAUUAUGGUAAGCAUAUUACAUUCAAGAUCGGCAUUUCUUAUACCCUGAAAAUGAAAAGCAGAUAUAGGGACUCCUUAGGAGACCCUGGCAAUUCCCCUCCUGAUUUUAAUUCCUCAGAAAGUAAAGAUGGAAAAUGUGAGCUGGCAGCAGCAGGAAAUUAAGUUCUUUUGGAAGAGAUGGAAGAUUUAAUGACAAAGAGUUACAUGAAGAAGCAACACAGAGAAAGUCUGGUGGCAGAAUUCUUCACCAAAUUGCUUUGCCACACUCAUAGGAGAAUCAAGAAAGUUAAAGAUAGUUAGCAAAUGAAAUUAAGAAUUCAGACUGAUUUGUGCAUCUAACAACAGGCUUGUGACAUCCCAAAGGAGCAGCUUCCUAUGCAGAACGACUCGUGAGGAACAGCCUCAGAUUCUUUCUAGUCUGCAAUAUUUAUUCUGGGUUUUUCUUUGUGAUCACAACCAAAGAUUUCAAUUAAUCUUUUACCACCAAUUUAUGUUGAUCACAUGACUACUUGCUUUUGUCAUCAAAAUCUCCUUGAACUUUGUUAUGUCGGUCUUUUGUCUUAUGUCAAUAUUCUACAGUUUCAGCUCUGUUUCCACUGUAUGUGAGAUGGCCUUUAAAAUUUCACUGCCUAAAAAUGACUGGAUAAUGAUAAAAUGCUCAUCCUUUUCA